UUAACGCCCACUCGAGUUACCAGCGUUUUGCUGCGGUUUCACCAUAUCUGUUGGUCGCAUCGGACUCACUCACGGGCUGUAGUUAUUAUAUAAUCGAUGGCUAUGGCUAACAAACGUGCUCAACGUGUCAAAAGUUAUUUUCCAUCACGGCACUUUUGACUCAACAUAUUCACAAACAAGAUUUACUAGAUUCAAGUUCUAUCAUAUUGAAUGACGAUGAGGUCCAUUUAAUCCAAUACAUUGCUGGGUUCAUUUUACAAAAAAUGCCAAAACGAUGCCAAGACCCGGAAGACUGCAAAAGAAUCCCGAACCGGACUGUUUGAUAACUGACUCUAUGAUUGCAAUAAUGCAGGAAACAGAAUAUGGACGCUUUACCGUACCAGUGUCCUUGAACUAUGUAAGCUGCUAAAAAUUGAAUUUAGAUUAAACUAUCAUGAAGGUGUUAUAGCCACAGAUUUUAAAAAUUUCAAUAUAGAAUCAUUUGGUAUCGCCCAAAACGAUACUAGCAUGCUGGACAUUUUGGAAAACUUAUGUCGCUUCUACCUGAAAAUAUGCUGCCAUCAAACAGCCAGAAUCGUCAAUAACGCCCUCUUGAAAAAUGACCAUAAUUUAUCCCUACGAAAACUGCUUAAAAAAUAAAUGUAGAUGAAGAGCAUGAUCUCUUUUCACUUUAUUUUGCAAGGUAGUGCGUUUAGAUGUGAUUCCAGUUUUAUUUUUAUUACUUUAGCAGUAAUUAAACAAUAUAAUGUUUUUUUCAUAAAAUGUUCAAUGCAUGGAAUAUAGUAUAUUUU